UACGUAGGGCGCAAGCGUUAUCCGGAAUUAUUGGGCGUAAAGAGCUCGUAGGCGGUUUGUCGCGUCUGCCGUGAAAGUCCGGGGCUCAACUCCGGAUCUGCGGUGGGUACGGGCAGACUAGAGUGAUGUAGGGGGAGACUGGAAUUCCUGGUGUAGCGGUGAAAUGCGCAGAUAUCAGGAGGAACACCGAGUGGCGAAGGCAGGUCUCUGGGCAUUAACUGACGCUGAGGAGCGAAAGCAUGGGGGAGCGAACAGG
rnacentral:rRNA from 1 species